rnacentral:lncRNA from 1 species
UUCUCUUUUAGCCUCUCGUUCGCCUCCACGAUGAUUACCGAUGUUGACUCUUCUUUCUCGGGCCAAAAUCUCAAUCUACAAAUGUGGUGAGUGGGGUCUGUAUAUUAAAGUUUAACGCUUUAGAACACCAGGCAGUCGACUCAUAGCUAUAUACCAACCAAGCAAUCGAGAUCAAACGAACUCCCCAUCUCACUGGUUCAUUGAAAGUUUCGUGACUUUUAUUUUCCUUCCUUUUGCCAGGUUUUAAUGGCCACGGGUGGCCAUGAGGUGCAGCUCAGCUUCAUUGAUGAUACAUCUACUCGAGGUCAAAGGCCUCGAGAAAUCCGCACCGGCACUUUGCCAGUGGCCACAUGGGAAAGUGCAGGCUCACUUUGAGUUGUCGACAUACAAUCAGUGACCGAAAGCAAUUGUUGUAGUAAUUGCUCGCCGGACCACCCCCCCAAUGAGGGCCAUAAGUGAAAAAUCCCAGAAUGUCUAGAACACUGGUCGAUUUGAUUUGAUUUGAUGGAGAAUGCCACAGCACUUUUCUUCGAUUGUGAAUUUACGUGGGACCCCAAAGGAAGAAAAUAUUAGGUGAGGUGUCUUCGGGAUCCAUGGCCGGUUUAGCCUAUCAAUCAUGCGGCGAAACCGCUCGAAGCCAAAGGUUUUCGGCUAAACAGAGGGGGACGACUUCUUCUCUGUAUUGGUCGGCCGGGGAUCACAAAACCAACAGCAAGCAAUUUUGACCACCGAAAGCGCCGUCUUCCGUAUCCCGCAAGCAUAGGACGCGGAGCGGAACCAGAACUGAUCUCGUGGGAAGCAACCGUUUCGCUAUAAAACGGCUAACAGCAUAUAAAACCAAUGGGCAUAUCCGCCCUUGUCUCGACCCACCACGAGCUGCCUCGCCAAAAGAUCGGGAAAUUCUUGCCGACUGUUUGAAUCUUGCGGAAACCCAGGUGCGAUUCCCAUGGGACCUACAGGAUCAUCAGCGGUUUGGUCACCGAUUCGAUCCACAUUUGACUCCUGGUCCAUGCGAGAAUUUUCAAUUCCCUGACCCAUUUGAGCUCCCACCUUCCCCGAGCUCCCAAGAGACGCCGAUAACACAUCUUCUGGUCGUUCUGUUUUAGACUGAACAGCGGCUGAAGCAAAGAACAGAGCUGCUCUGCAAUUGUUUAACACAUGCAGGGAGGCGUGGAAGAGGAUCAUGAGAAUGUAAUUGCAGCAACAUAACCGAGGAUAGCUUAAAAGUCGUUGAAUGACUUCGAUGUAAUCUCCAUAAAUCAUAAGUUUCUGCAAAAAGAAGUAAAAAACUCUCUUUUGAACGAACCAUCAUGAUGAACAAAUUUCUCUCAUCAAAACCGAAUGCUUCUACAAUGAAUAAUUAAGAACAGUGGAUAUCGAUGAUUUUAUGAUCAUGUUGGAGACCAAACUGGAUUUGGGUCUUAACGAUUACAGAUAAACCAAAAUCAGUAUAGGGCACAUGUUUAUCCCAGCUGAUAUGGCCAGGGCGUACGCAGUUCGCAGAAUAGCUUGCCUGAUUGAGUUUUGCUGAGGGUAACACAACAAAUCACAUUUUCUUUCUCCAAAGAGGGAAAGUUAGAGCAUCAUUCAUCAACUCGUAUGCAAACUGUGUUGUCAAGUGAACCCACAGCUCAUUUGGUUGAAUAUGGUUGUGGAGUCAGUCCUCCAACAGAGCGUGGGUUCAAAGAGGAAGGGCUAAAUUGGACAGAAACUGCGGACGAGAUUUGAUAUGUCGCACAGGUCCAAAGCAUCUGUAUUCGUCAUUUCAGUACUCGUAAGAAGCAAACCUGUCUUCAAGGAAGUCUGCCGAGUGAAGACUAUGGACUGAACUGUAAAAUUUAAUUCUCUUAAGGUGCCAGAGCUGCAAAACUAGUGCAUUAAGAUAACUUUGCCCCAACUAGAAUUCAGGUUGUCUGAGAAUCCAGAGCAACGGUCGAGAGAGUUUACUUUAUCACAGAUCAAAAGCAUGUAAUCUUGUCAGGCACAAGAAACGUAAAGCUACCAUUAGACAUUCUUAGUAUGCCACUAUACCAUGAAACAAAUGUCGCAACUAACUUCAAUUCAUCGACAGCAAAUAGAGCCUCGAGACCUUACCAAUAUCCAGUAGAGGAAUCUUCAACUGACCUCCAUUGGCAGCGGCAAAAAGAGCCCAGCACAAUGGUUUUUCAAUCCACUCUGCCAGGCUCGAGUUCAAUCAAACCGGAAGCUUUCCUUCAUCGCCAUUUUCAACCACAGACAAUUGCAGUUUGCACACGCUUUUAUUCCUUACUCAUCACAAGCAUGCCCAGGUCAUAUCCCGCAAGCAUAGGACACGUGGCAGAACCAAGACUGAUCUCGUGGGAAGCAACUGUUUCACUAAAAACAGCUAAGAGCAUAUCAAACCAAUGGGCAUAUCUGCCUUUGUCUCAACCCACCACGAGCUGCCUCGCCAAAAGCUUGGGAAAUAUUUGCCUACUGUUGGAAUCCUGUGAAACACAGGUGGGAUUUCCACAGGACCUACAGGAUCAUCAGCAGUUGGUGACAGAUCCAGUCCAUAUAUGACUUGGGGUCCAUGUGAUAAUUUUCAAUUCCCAGACCCAUUUGAGCUCCCACCUUCCCCGAGCCCCAAGAGAUCCCGAUAACACAUCUUCCGGUUGUUCUGUUUUAGACUCUACAACAGCUGAAAAAAAGAACAGAGCUGCUCUGCAAUUGUUCAACACAUACAGGGAGGUGUGGAAUAGAGUCACGAGAGUGUGAUGGAAAAAUGUAACGCAGAAAAGCAUAAUCAUGGUUGAAAGAGUUCGAUAGAAUCUGCACAUGCUGAGGUAUUUGCAAAAGCUUCUGCAAAAGAAAUACAAAGCUCUCUUUUUGAAUGAACCAUAAGUCCAUGAAUCCAGGGAACAAUGCACAAUGAACAAAUUCUCGCAUUGAAACCCGAAUGCUCAUAUUAUGAAUAAUUACAAACAGCAAACAUUUUAUAACCAUAUGGGAGGCACAGAAACCAAAACAACGGUACGGCACGUGUUUUGCGCUGCUGAUAUGGCAAGGGCGCAUGUUGCUCACACUGUAGCUUGCCUGAUCGAGUUUUGCUAAGUGCUACACAGCAACUUGACAUUUUUCCUUUUCUCCAAAGAGAGAAACCGGUAUGCAUUAUUAGUUAACUUGUAUGCACACUACAUUGUCAAGUGCAGCCACAGCCCAGUCAGUUGAAUGAGGAGUCAGUCCUCCGACAGAGCGUGGAUUUAAAGAGGAAGAACUAAGUUGGACAGAACUGAGAACGAAAUUGAUAGGUAGCACAAGUCCAAAGCAUCUGUAUGUGACAUUUCAGUACUCAUACAUUAGUUGCGCACCUCAUGCAGAGAACACCUCAUAAGAAGCAAACCUAUUUUAGAAGGAGUCUGCAUUAUUAAGACUAUGGGCCGAACUGUAAAAUUUAAUUCUCUUAAGGUGCCAGAGCUGCAAAACUAGUGCAAUGAGAUAACUUUGCCCCAACUAGAAUUCAG